GGAGGGAUGGCCGAGUGGUUUAAGGCGGCGGUCUUGAAAACCGCUGUCCCGAAAGGGGCCGUGGGUUCGAAUCCUACUCCCUCCGCCA
rnacentral:tRNA from 1 species